rnacentral:lncRNA from 1 species
CCCAACGUUGUUACAAUGUCUAUUUUAUUGACCAUUAUUUAUAUUAUACUACAUUAAAAUUUAUGCCAAAAAGAUAGCAAAAUUACAAUUCAUUAGAUCUUUUAUACUUGCUCAAAGCUGUCCUCAAAUGAAUGUAUAAUUCCUUAUUUGAUAGAUAACAUCACUUCUGGUUAUUUGUACAAUUAGUAGUAGGACAUGAAUGUUGGUGAUUGCACCA